UACGGAGGGGGCAAGCGUUGUUCGGAGUUACUGGGCGUAAAGCGUGCGCAGGCGGCCCGUUAAGACAGGUGUGAAAUCCCUGGGCUCAACCUAGGAAUUGCGCUUGUGACUGGCGGGCUCGAGUACGGUAGAGGGGGGUGGAAUUCCUGGUGUAGCAGUGAAAUGCGUAGAGAUCAGGAGGAACACCGAUGGCGAAGGCAGCCCCCUGGGCCUGUACUGACGCUCAUGCACGAAAGCGUGGGGAUCAAACAGG
rnacentral:rRNA from 1 species